rnacentral:rRNA from 1 species
CCCCCCCAACCCAUUGGGAAGAAGUUGAUCCUGGCUCAGAGCGAACGCUGGCGGCAGGCUUAACACAUGCAAGUCGAGCGGGCGUAGCAAUACGUCAGCGGCAGACGGGUGAGUAACGCGUGGGAACGUACCUUUUGGUUCGGAACAACACAGGGAAACUUGUGCUAAUACCGGAUAAGCCCUUACGGGGAAAGAUUUAUCGCCGAAAGAUCGGCCCGCGUCUGAUUAGCUAGUUGGUGAGGUAAUGGCUCACCAAGGCGACGAUCAGUAGCUGGUCUGAGAGGAUGAUCAGCCACAUUGGGACUGAGACACGGCCCAAACUCCUACGGGAGGCAGCAGUGGGGAAUAUUGGACAAUGGGGGCAACCCUGAUCCAGCCAUGCCGCGUGAGUGAUGAAGGCCCUAGGGUUGUAAAGCUCUUUUGUGCGGGAAGAUAAUGACGGUACCGCAAGA